rnacentral:rRNA from 1 species
AUUGAACGCUGGCGGCAUGCUUUACACAUGCAAGUCGGACGGCAGCACAGAGAAGCUUGCUUCUUGGGUGGCGAGUGGCGCACGGGUGAGUCAUAUAUCGGAACGUACCGAGUAAUGGGGGAUAACUAAUCGAAAGAUUAGCUAAUACCGCAUAUUCUCUGAGGAGGAAAGCAGGGGACCUUCGGGCCUUGCGUUAUUCGAGCGUCCGAUAUCUGAUUAGCUAGUUGGUGGGGUAAAGGCCUACCAAGGCGACGAUCAGUAGCGGGUCUGAGAGGAUGAUCCGCCACACUGGGACUGAGACACGGCCCAGACUCCUACGGGAGGCAGCAGUGGGGAAUUUUGGACAAUGGGCGCAAGCCUGAUCCAGCCAUGCCGCGUGUCUGAAGAAGGCCUUCGGGUUGUAAAGGACUUUUGUCAGGGAAGAAAAGGCUGUUGCUAAUAUCGACAGCUGAUGACGGUACCUGAAGAAUAAGCACCGGCUAACUACGUG